CCCAGACUCCUACGGGAGGCAGCAGUGGGGGAUAUUGCACAAUGGGGGAAACCCUGAUGCAGCGACGCCGCGUGAGUGAAGAAGUAUUUCGGUAUGUAAAGCUCUAUCAGCAGGGAAGAAAAAAGACGGUACCUGACUAAGAAGCCCCGGCUAACUACGUGCCAGCAGCCGCGGUAAUACGUAGGGGGCAAGCGUUAUCCGGAUUUACUGGGUGUAAAGGGAGCGUAGACGGCAAUACAAGUCGGAAGUGAAAUACCCGGGCUCAACCUGGGAACUGCUUUGGAAACUGUAUGGCUGGAGUGCUGGAGAGGUAAGCGGAAUUCCUAGUGUAGCGGUGAAAUGCGUAGAUAUUAGGAGGAACACCAGUGGCGAAGGCGGCUUACUGGACAGUAACUGACGUUGAGGCUCGAAAGCGUGGGGAGCAAACAGGAUUAGAUACCCCAGUAC
rnacentral:rRNA from 1 species